GGCGCGCCUAAUACAUGCAAGUCGAACGCACCUUCGUCGACAGAAGGUGCUUGCACUGGAAGUUGAUUGACGUGAGUGGCGGACGGGUGAGUAACACGUGGGUAACCUGCCCUUAAGCGGGGGAUAACAUUUGGAAACAGAUGCUAAUACCGCAUAAAAGUUGAGAUCACAUGGUCUUAAUUUGAAAGACGGCCUUUGGCUGUCACUUAAGGAUGGACCCGCGGCGUAUUAGCUAGUUGGUGAGAUAAUAGCCCACCAAGGCGAUGAUACGUAGCCGACCUGAGAGGGUAAUCGGCCACAUUGGGACUGAGACACGGCCCAAACUCCUACGGGAGGCAGCAGUAGGGAAUCUUCCACAAUGGACGAAAGUCUGAUGGAGCAACGCCGCGUGAGUGAAGAAGGUUUUCGGAUCGUAAAACUCUGUUGUUGGAGAAGAACAGGGACUAGAGUAACUGUUAGUCCUUUGACGGUAUCCAACCAGAAAGCCACGGCUAACUACGUGCCAGCAGCCGCGGUAAUACGUAGGUGGCAAGCGUUGUCCGGAUUUAUUGGGCGUAAAGCGAGCGCAGGCGGUUUCUUAAGUCUGAUGUGAAAGCCUUCGGCUUAACCGAAGAAGUGCAUCAGAUACUGGGAAACUUGAGUGCAGAAGAGGAAAGUGGAACUCCAUGUGUAGCGGUGAAAUGCGUAGAUAUAUGGAAGAACACCAGUGGCGAAGGCGGCUUUCUGGUCUGUAACUGACGCUGAGGCUCGAAAGUAUGGGGAGCGAACAGGAUUAGAUACCCUGGUAGUCCAUACCGUAAACGAUGAAUGCUAAGUGUUGGAGGGUUUCCGCCCUUCAGUGCUGCAGCUAACGCAUUAAGCAUUCCGCCUGGGGAGUACGACCGCAAGGUUGAAACUCAAAGGAAUUGACGGGGGCCCGCACAAGCGGUGGAGCAUGUGGUUUAAUUCGAAGCUACGCGAAGAACCUUACCAGGUCUUGACAUCUAGCGCCAAUCCUAGAGAUAGGACGUUCCCUUCGGGGACGCUAAGACAGGUGGUGCAUGGUUGUCGUCAGCUCGUGUCGUGAGAUGUUGGGUUAAGUCCCGCAACGAGCGCAACCCUUAUGAUUAGUUGCCAGCAUUUAGUUGGGCACUCAAAGCAGACUGCCGGUGACAAACCGGAGGAAGGU
rnacentral:rRNA from 1 species